CAUAGAGAGAACUAGAUAAAAAUGAGAUGGCUUCAGUUAGUUCUUCUCAUUGUGAGGCCAAACUGAAAAGGGUUAGGCAGUAGAAACAAAGCUGUUUCCUCUUCAGAUUUAAGAGACGUGGGCACUCUGAACCAAGGCUUUGCUUGUAAGGAAAAAGGGUGAGCAAAAUGGUCAAUGUUGAUACCAGGGGAAAGCUUUGUUAUAUAACAGGGAUAAUAAAGGCUGAGGUUUACUGAGUACUUCCUUUGUGCCAAGCCUUUUUAAAAAAGCACUGAUUUAAUCCGCAUUCACAGCUCCAUGAGGUAGGUACUAUUAUUAAUCUUUUAGAGCCAAAGAAGCUAAGCACAAGGAGUUGAGUAGCUUACUUAGGGACACACAGCUAGCAGUCCCUCCCUCUCAGGAGUGUCCAGUACACUUGAAGUAUAGGAUCUGGCAAGGACAGGGAGAGUUUGAGACUAUCAGUGACCACCUUCUGAGAAACCAAGGCAUGUCAGACCAAAAUAAAAAAAUGUAUUAUUUGGAAAAGCUAAGUUAGCUGCUCCUUAGGAAUCAGUUGUUUUAUUCCUGGAAAAUGUUUUCCACUUACUGCAAAUCUAUAUCUGACCUGCUGAGGAAAUCAUUUGGUGAAGUGAAUCCAGAAAGUAGAGAAAGUGCUUCAUUACUUUAAAUAGCACUAAGCCCGUUACAGCCUCGGAAUCGUCCCUUUUUGGAGUGUGAAUGCUUCCAACUUAGUCAUUUGGAGCUCAAGAGUACAAUUGGAUAUGCCUCUACUGAUAUCUUCAUCUAUUGCAAGAUGUGUAAUUAUGAUCUAUUGUGAACUAAAUAUACUACAGAAACUUAAAGCAUAAAA